GCACUGCUGAUGAGUCCCACAAUAGAACGAAACGGUCGUCCAGUGC
rfam:Schistosoma mansoni strain Puerto Rico chromosome 6, complete genome